rnacentral:rRNA from 1 species
AGUGAACGCUAGCGGUAGGCCUAACACAUGCAAGUCGAACGGCAGCACAGUAAGAGCUUGCUCUUACGGGUGGCGAGUGGCGGACGGGUGAGGAAUACAUCGGAAUCUACUUUUUCGUGGGGGAUAACGUAGGGAAACUUACGCUAAUACCGCAUACGACCUACGGGUGAAAGCAGGGGAUCUUCGGACCUUGCGCGAUUGAAUGAGCCGAUGUCGGAUUAGCUAGUUGGCGGGGUAAAGGCCCACCAAGGCGACGAUCCGUAGCUGGUCUGAGAGGAUGAUCAGCCACACUGGAACUGAGACACGGUCCAGACUCCUACGGGAGGCAGCAGUGGGGAAUAUUGGACAAUGGGCGCAAGCCUGAUCCAGCCAUACCACGUGGGUGAAGAAGGCCUUCGGGUUGUAAAGCCCUUUUGUUGGGAAAGAAAAGCAGCAGGUUAAUACCCCGCUGUUCUGACGGUACCCAAAGAAUAAGCACCGGCUAACUUCGUG